rnacentral:rRNA from 1 species
UACGUAGGGUGCGAGCGUUGUCCGGAAUUAUUGGGCGUAAAGAGCUUGUAGGCGGUUUGUCGCGUCUGCUGUGAAAUUUCGGGGCUCAACCCCGAACUUGCAGUGGGUACGGGCAGACUAGAGUGUGGUAGGGGAGACUGGAAUUCCUGGUGUAGCGGUGAAAUGCGCAGAUAUCAGGAGGAACACCAGUGGCGAAGGCGAGUCCCUGGACAUUUCCUGACGCUGAGGCACGAAAGCCAGGGGAGCAAACGGG